AUUGAACGCUGGCGGCGUGCCUUACACAUGCAAGUCGAACGGCAGCAUGAUCUAGCUUGCUCGAUUGAUGGCGAGUGGCGAACGGGUGAGUAAUACAUCGGAACGUGCCUUGUAGUGGGGGAUAACUAGUCGAAAGAUUAGCUAAUACCGCAUACGACCUGAGGGUGAAAGUGGGGGACCGCAAGGCCUCAUGCUAUAGGAGCGGCCGAUGUCUGAUUAGCUAGUUGGUGAGGUAAAGGCUCACCAAGGCGACGAUCAGUAGCUGGUCUGAGAGGACGAUCAGCCACACUGGGACUGAGACACGGCCCAGACUCCUACGGGAGGCAGCAGUGGGGAAUUUUGGACAAUGGGCGAAAGCCUGAUCCAGCAAUGCCGCGUGUGUGAAGAAGGCCUUCGGGUUGUAAAGCACUUUUGUCCGGAAAGAAAUGGCUCUGGUUAAUACCUGGGGUCGAUGACGGUACCGGAAGAAUAAGGACCGGCUAACUACGUG
rnacentral:rRNA from 1 species